UCCCUUGUGGCUCAGUUGGUAGAGCAUGGUGUUUGCAACGCCAGGGUUGUGGGUUUGAUUCCCACGGGAG
rnacentral:tRNA from 1 species